CCUACGGGAGGCAGCAGUGGGGAAUAUUGGACAAUGGGCGAAAGCCUGAUCCAGCCAUGCCGCGUGUGUGAAGAAGGCCUUCGGGUUGUAAAGCACUUUCAGUGGGGAAGAAAGCCUUGGGGCUAAUACCCUCGAGGAAGGACAUCACCCACAGAAGAAGCACCGGCUAACUCCGUGCCAGCAGCCGCGGUAAUACGGAGGGUGCGAGCGUUAAUCGGAAUUACUGGGCGUAAAGCGCGCGUAGGCGGUCUGAUAAGCCGGUUGUGAAAGCCCCGGGCUCAACCUGGGAACGGCAUCCGGAACUGUCAGGCUAGAGUGCAGGAGAGGAAGGUAGAAGUCCCGGUGUAGCGGUGAAAUGCGUAGAGAUCGGGAGGAAUACCAGUGGCGAAGGCGGCCUUCUGGACUGACACUGACGCUGAGGUGCGAAAGCGUGGGUAGCAAACAGGAUUAGAUACCCCAGUAGUC
rnacentral:rRNA from 1 species